rnacentral:rRNA from 1 species
AAAAACUCCGGUGGUAUAAGAUGGAUCCGCGCCUGAUUAGCUAGUUGGCGGGGCAGCGGCCCACCAAGGCGACGAUCAGUAGCCGGCCUGAGAGGGCGACCGGCCACAUUGGGACUGAGACACGGCCCAAACUCCUACGGGAGGCAGCAGUGGGGAAUAUUGCACAAUGGGGGGAACCCUGAUGCAGCGACGCCGCGUGAGUGAAGAAGUAUUUCGGUAUGUAAAGCUCUAUCAGCAGGGAAGAAGAUGACGGUACCUGACUAAGAAGCCCCGGCUAACUACGUGCCAGCAGCCGCGGUAAUACGUAGGGGGCAAGCGUUAUCCGGAUUUACUGGGUGUAAAGGGAGCGUAGACGGCAGGGCAAGUCUGGAGUGAAAGCCCGGGGCCCAACCCCGGGACUGCUUUGGAAACUGCCAUGCUGGAGUGCUGGAGAGGUAAGCGGAAUUCCUAGUGUAGCGGUGAAAUGCGUAGAUAUUAGGAGGAACACCAGUGGCGAAGGCGGCUUACUGGACAGUAACUGACGUUGAGGCUCGAAAGCGUGGGGAGCAAACAGGAUUAGAUACCCUGGUAGUCCACGCCGUAAACGAUG